rnacentral:pre_miRNA from 1 species
UGGUCCUCUAUGGACAUCUUACUAGACAGUGCUGGAUUUAUUUUAUCUUUUCUAACACUGUCUGGUAACGAUGUUUAAAGAGUGAGCCA